UUUCAAUUUCGGUUCUCAGAAUUCCUAAUUUACUGCAAUGGCGCCUACAAGCGCUCAGGCAUAGUUUCACCGUCAUUACGACCCUUGCGCAUGCACGAAGUGAACAGAAUCAUUACCAAGUCAAAGUUGGAAUUACAGAAGAGUUAAAAUUGAAGUAGACGUACAAAAAUGUAAGUUAUGUAUUACAUUGCACAUAUACUUUGGUAUUUGGUAAAUACUAUAUCAGAGUAUAGCUCAGUCUAGCUGUCUAUAGUUUCCCCUGUUCGAUUUACACUGUGCCGACUGUACACAGCCUUUGUUGCAACCUGUUUACAACUGAGUCGUACUGUACUACUUUAUGUAAAUCUAUACGAGAACGUAAGCGGUUGUGUGCUUGAUUUUACAAAAUAAACGGGUUGCAUGCGAUAGAUUUAGGCAGUGUAGUGGAAAUCGUCAUUGUUGUCGACGCGCUUCCAACUUUGUAAUAUUGGAAGAAAUGUAUACUGGCUUUUUUACCACAUGACUGAGGGCCUCUAGUCUUAAUCUAGUGUGUUGAAGAAUGUCGUGCUCAUAUAAUAGUCAGUUCGAAAUAACUGUUUCAACAAAAGGAUGUAAGAAAUUGUUUAGAUUUAUGACCAGAUAAAAUAAAAUAAAUACAGACUAUAUAUAUAUUACAAGCAAGAGGUAGAUAUUGCAAAUGAUAUUCGGCAAGAAGUGCUUCAGUUGUAACGAUGCCUUGGAAUAAUCUUCCCCAUCACUCAUGAGGCAAAAAUUGCUGAAUCCUUUUAAAAGCUCUUUCAAAUCGAUAUUAAAACAAAGAAUGAGUUGAAACUAGCUCGUGUAUGAUCGUGCAUUAAAAAUCACCGUAAUUUCUUGUUCUCCCUUUCCUGCAAUUUAUUUCCUGUCUUCUUUUAUCUUUUUUCAUAUUUUUUAUAUUUUGUAAACAUAUAGUUAAUUCUAUAUCUCAUGCACGCCCCUCAUGUAUGGAAAUCAGCCUCCUAACGGUCGUAGAGCAUAGCGUGCUCAAAUAAAGUUUGUAUGUAUGUGUAUGUAUGUUAACAUAUAGCAUAGCUAAGCUAAGAAUUCUAACUAUUAAAACUAUCACAGCUUGCAGUGCUGCUCGCAUUGUGUAUAUGAAAUUGCGUAUGAUAAGUACUAGUUGGAACAUGAGCCCGAAACAUUUGAAGCUGAUCAUGUGAGCGUAUUUUCGAUAUACCUAUAUUAUUUCUAUAUAUGGUAUUUUCGAACUAAUUUACGUUUUCUUACGCUUACCUAAUUGAAACAAGUAACUUUAUACGAAAUUUGUUUUAAUUUGAUGUAAGAGGCUAG